GUUUCAGAAUACCACAUCAUCUAGGUUUAGGCCAUAUAGAGGCUGAUUAAAUGAGAAGCCAGAAAAAGCAACCUGUUGGCAUGUUGAUAAGAGGCUUUAUUCAUGAAUUUUUUUUAUAUAGUUCAAUUUGAAAAAGAAUGGAAUCUGUAUAAUUUGGGAAUUAUAUGUACCUACUGGUGACUGUUUCAUAGGAAGCCAACAUAUGAGUUUGUGUGAGGGGGAAAAGCAGGGCCAUGAGACCUGUAGGAGUAGCGGUGUAUUAUAUAGGUAGCCUGUUUCCUGUUCUGGUGGAGCAGCAGCUCAGAGCAUGUAGUUCCUCCCUCACCCUGUCAGGCUCCCCUUCCAGUGUAAACCCUGGAGUCAAAGAAGAAUUCCUUCAGAAGGAAGAAGGCAAACAUGGUGCUGCCCAGGCUGCUGAAGCUGCUUAUGGUGUCCAUGUGGCUGGGAUCCAGUUUUGCCCAGAAGGUGACUCAGGCCCAGCCAGCCAUUUGGGUGCAGGAGAAGGAGGCUGUGAGCCUGCUCUGCUCCUAUGACACCAGUGAUACAAAUUAUGAUCUCCUCUGGUACAAGAAGCCCAGCAGUGGGGAGAUGGUCUUCCUCAUCCGUCAGAACUCUUACAGCCAGCAAAAUGCCACAGAAGGUCGCUACUCACUAAAUUUGCAGAAGGCAAGCAAAUCCAUCCAGCUUGUCAUCUCAGCCUCUCAGCUGGGGGACUCAGCGGUGUAUUUCUGUGCACUGAGAGAGGGCACAGUGGGAGGACUGUUGGAGGAAGGUGCACAAAAACCCAGGGUCUGCCUGAGUCACCCACCUGCUGGAGGGACCAAGGCAGGAAGUGGCAGGGCUGUGUCAGCUCAUGUUUGGGGUUAGAGGAAAACACUCACUCUAAAGAAACCCUUUCUAGGUUCAUAGAUCACAUCACAUUUAUCACUAAUCAAA